GUGUGUGUGUGUGUGUGUGUGUGUGUGUGUGUGCAUGCACGUGCACGCGUGUGCACUCGCACACA
rnacentral:miRNA from 1 species